GGUCGGGUCCCAUGCAAGCAUUGGACGCGAACCUGGUCAGGCGGGGAACCGAGCAGCCAUAAGCGUAUCCUUUGUUGUGCGUGGCCAACCCGGCCACU
rnacentral:SRP_RNA from 1 species